GACGAGGGGUCCUAGCGUUGUUCGGAAUCACUGGGCGUAAAGCGUAUGUAGGCGGCUUUUCAAGUCAGGUGUGAAAUCCCACGGCUUAACCGUGGAACUGCAUUUGAAACUGUAAAGCUUGAGUAUUGGAGAGGAUGGUAGAAUUCCUGGUGUAGUGGUGAAAUACGUAGAUAUCAGGAGGAAUACCGGUGGCGGAGGCGGCCAUCUGGCCAAAUACUGACGCUGAGAUACGAAAGUGUGGGGAUCAAACAGG
rnacentral:rRNA from 1 species